rnacentral:rRNA from 1 species
CCCUUAGAUGGUCUGGGCGGCACGCGCGCUACAAUGAUGCAUUCAAAAAGUCUUCUGACCUUAGAAGGUUUGGUACUCUCCAAAGUGCAUCGUGAUGGGAAUAGUUUAUUGCAAUUUUUAAUCUUGAACGAGGAAUUCCUAGUAAGUACAGGUCAUCAACUUGUGUUGAUUACGUCCCUGCCCUUUGUACACACCGCCCGUCGCUCCUACUGAUUGAGUGUCUCAAUGAAUUCUUUGAUCUUCUGUCGAUUCAGUUCACUGAUCCGACGGUGGAAAGUUGAAUGAACUUCGUCACUUAGAGGAAGGAGAAGUCGUAACA